AUUGAACGCUGGCGGCAGGCCUAACACAUGCAAGUCGAGCGGAUGAAGGGAGCUUGCUCCUGGAUUCAGCGGCGGACGGGUGAGUAAUGCCUAGGAAUCUGCCUGGUAGUGGGGGAUAACGUCCGGAAACGGGCGCUAAUACCGCAUACGUCCUGAGGGAGAAAGUGGGGGAUCUUCGGACCUCACGCUAUCAGAUGAGCCUAGGUCGGAUUAGCUAGUUGGUGGGGUAAAGGCCUACCAAGGCGACGAUCCGUAACUGGUCUGAGAGGAUGAUCAGUCACACUGGCACAGAGACACGGUCCAGACUCCUACGGGAGGCAGCAGUGGGGAAUAUUGGACGAUGGGCGAAAGCCUGAUCCAGCCAUGCCGCGUGUGUGAAGAAGGUCUUCGGAUUGUAAAGCACUUUAAGUUGGGAGGAAGGGCAGUAAGUUAAUACCUUGCUGUUUUGACGUUACCAACAGAAUAAGCACCGGCUAACUUCGUG
rnacentral:rRNA from 1 species